AAUGAGAGACCUGUACUGUAU
rnacentral:miRNA from 1 species